rnacentral:rRNA from 1 species
GACGAACCGUGCGAACGUUGUUCGGAAUCACUGGGCUUAAAGGGCGCGUAGGCGGCCGGGUUGGUCGUGGGUGAAAUCCCCCAGCUUAACUGGGGAACUGCCUACGAUACUGCCUGGCUCGAGGGAGGAAGGGGCGGUCGGAACUGUCGGUGGAGCGGUGAAAUGCGUUGAUAUCGACAGGAACGCCGGUGGCGAAGGCGGACCGCUGGCCCUCUUCUGACGCUGAGGCGCGAAAGCCAGGGGAGCAAACGGG